AUAUUUCAGAACUGAGUCUAGUUCCUUUGAUAUCAGUGUAAUCUAAUAAUCAUGAAAUUUGCUGUACUCAGGUGAAUAAGAUGCUUGUGUGAUGUUACUCAUGAUUAUUAGAUUACACUGAUAUCGAAGGAACUAGACUCAGUUCUGAAAUAU
rnacentral:miRNA from 1 species